rnacentral:rRNA from 1 species
AAAAGGGGGGGAUCCAUUUACUUGGAAACGGUAGCUAAUACCGCAUAACGUCGCAAGACCAAAGAGGGGGACCUUCGGGCCUCUUGCCUCAGAUGUGCCCAGAUGGGAUUAGCUAGUAGGUGGGGUAAUGGCUCACCUAGGCGACGAUCCCUAGCUGGUCUGAGAGGAUGACCAGCCACACUGGAACUGAGACACGGUCCAGACUCCUACGGGAGGCAGCAGUGGGGAAUAUUGCACAAUGGGCGCAAGCCUGAUGCAGCCAUGCCGCGUGUGUGAAGAAGGCCUUCGGGUUGUAAAGCACUUUCAGCGAGGAGGAAGGUGGUGAACUUAAUACGUUCAUCAAUUGACGUUACUCGCAGAAGAAGCACCGGCUAACUCCGUGCCAGCAGCCGCGGUAAUACGGAGGGUGCAAGCGUUAAUCGGAAUUACUGGGCGUAAAGCGCACGCAGGCGGUUUUGUUAAGUCAGAUGUGAAAUCCCCGGG